rnacentral:rRNA from 1 species
GACGAACGCUGGCGGCGUGCUUAACACAUGCAAGUCGAACGGAAAGGCCCUGCUUUUGUGGGGUGCUCGAGUGGCGAACGGGUGAGUAACACGUGAGUAACCUGCCCUUGACUUUGGGAUAACUUCAGGAAACUGGGGCUAAUACCGGAUAGGAGCUCCUGCUGCAUGGUGGGGGUGGAAAGUUUCGGCGGUUGGGGAUGGACUCGCGGCGUUUCAGCUUGUUGGGGGGGUAGUGGCUUACCAAGGCUUUGACGGGGAGCCGGCCUGAGAGGGUGACCGGCCACAUUGGGACUGAGAUACGGCCCAGACUCCUACGGGAGGCAGCAGUGGGGAAUAUUGCACAAUGGGCGGAAGCCUGAUGCAGCAACGCCGCGUGCGGGAUGACGGCCUUCGGGUUGUAAACCGCUUUCGCCUGUGACGAAGCGUGAGUGACGGUAAUGGGUAAAGAAGCACCGGCUAACUACGUG